CCGGAGGCGGCCUCUUUCUAGAUAGAUCUGUGUAACAUAAUUUUCAAAACCACAAUAAUUAACCCAAAAAAUAAAAAUAAAACACCAAAACAGUGAUGGUAAUAGCAUAGUGACAGCAACUCAAUGGCGUUGCUUCAACGGCAUUCACCGGAGCAAUGCUGGAUAAUCGAAUCCGGCCAUACCUACAAAACACACAAAAUACAAAGUACAAAAUGAGAUUGAGGGUGGAAUUACAGUGGAAGUGAUCGAAAGCUUCGCCGGUCAUCACCUCCGACGAAGUGGGGACGAAAAAAAGGGGAAAUAAGACAUCCCAGCCAGAUCUGGAAAUGAGCACACAAAAAUAAAAUUUUUUGUCCAUAUCUAGCCCACUUUUCGGUGGGCAAUAUUGAUGUGGUGUGUCAUAGAUCUCCGGUAGUCAAAUCCGACGAGACAUCAGCGAAGGAUGGAAAAGAGAAAGGGAGCAGUAGCGACGGCAAUGCAUCGGACUUGUCGAUCGUCACUUUUGGCAAGCCAAAGGCGGUGAGGGAAUAUAUGAGAAGGGGAAGAGGCGUGUGAUAGUGGUGGAGUUUUUGGUUGUCGGCCAUCCGGUGGAUAAUUCCAGCUGCGAAAAUAAUGGAGAGAAG
rnacentral:lncRNA from 1 species